UCACUUAGAGGAGGUUCAGCUACCCCGUGGAAGAGGUCAUCGGAGGGGAGAGAUGGAGCGAGAGAACCCACAGCCCACACGGAGAAAGUAAGACGGAUCUUAACAGUAUCUCACGCACUAACUCAGAACCUCCAGGGAAAGAUCUACUUAUUUUAUGAGGGAGAGAAGUUACUGCUAUCGGCACAAAAGGCCAAGGGAACAGCUCACUCACAGAAGUACCUCCAGCAAAAAACGAAUGUGUUUGUGUCUGCCUCCAUCUCUACUAAAGACAAAGAUACCAAUCCUCACAGACCAAUACCCGGCUGUCUACUAGGGUUUGUCCUCUUUCAUAAAGAAAGCCAAGGCUGGACUCCACUCAUGAGAAACCUCGACUCUCCAAAGUUUCAGAACUUGGUUCUUUGGAGCAGAUUCGCCAUUUUCCCCAAGGAAAUAGAUUAACAAAUCUCUCAGACCUCACCAGGGGAGUUUCUUUGUGCAGUGGAUGGGAGCUAAUUUAAGAAACUCACAGCUAAUCAGCAUGCAGAGAAUAAAGGGAUAUGGCAUCACCGUGAAAAUCAAAUCCAACGGCUCAGCCGUGGUUGGCAUGGACACAUUUCUGGUUCUUUCCGGCACCACUGUCUUCUAUGUCCCAGGCCUCUGACUCCUGUCAUUAGCAGGACAGGGUUGGUCAUUGUUGUUCCUGCACCUCAGAUGAUUCUCCUGCAAUAGCACCAAGGACCUUGAAUCAUGUAAAGAGAUCGAAUCUAUGCAUAGAAGAAUGGACUGCAGCCCUCUGGGAAAUGAGCCCUUCCUCCCCCAAGUUGUUUUUGCCUGGGUGUCAUAGCAAGAAAAAGUAACUAGGACACCCACAAAAAGCUGGAAAUGUACAGUGAACAUGAAAUACUGCCAAUUAGCAUUAACCAAGUUUAUUCAUGUAUAUACACACAAACAUAAACACACAGAUUGGUGAGCUAUCUCAAAGCAGGUUGUAGAUAUAUUUUUUCUCCCAAACUGCAGUGUAUAUGUCUCAUAAGCAAGGAUCUUACCCUAUAUCACUAGGUGGUUCCUAGGAAAUGCAAAUCAAAUUAUGUAAUUCCUUUGCUAAAAAUUCUCC